GACGGAGGAUGCAAGCGUUAUCCGGAAUGAUUGGGCGUAAAGCGUCCGCAGGUGGCAGUUCAAGUCUGCUGUCAAAGACCGGGGCUUAACUUCGGAAAGGCAGUGGAAACUGAACAGCUAGAGUAUGGUAGGGGCAGAGGGAAUUCCUGGUGUAGCGGUGGAAUGCGCAGAUAUCAGGAGGAACACCGAUGGCGAAGGCAGCUCGCUGGGACGGUACUGACGCUGAGGAGCGAAAGCGUGGGGAGCGAACAGG
rnacentral:rRNA from 1 species